rnacentral:rRNA from 1 species
UACGGGGGGGGCAAGCGUUGUUCGGAAUUACUGGGCGUAAAGGGCUCGUAGGCGGCCAACUAAGUCGGACGUGAAAUCCCCAGGCUCAACCUGGGAACUGCGUCCGAUACUGGAUGGCUUGAAUUCGGGAGAGGGAUGCAGAAUUCCAGGUGUAGCGGUGAAAUGCGUAGAUAUCUGGAGGAACACCGGUGGCGAAGGCGGCUUCCUGGCCUGUUCUUGACGCUGAGGCGCGAAAGCUAGGGGAGCAAACGGG